rnacentral:rRNA from 1 species
GAUGAACGCUGGCGGCGUGCCUAAUACAUGCAAGUCGUACGGAAAGGCCCUUCGGGGUACUCGAGUGGCGGACGGCUGAGUAACGCGUGGGAACGUGCCCCAAAGUGAGGGAUAACGCACCGAAAGGUGUGCUAAUACCGCAUAUGGUCUUCGGAUUAAAGCUUCGGCGCUUUGGGGGCGGCCCGCGUACGAUUAGAUAGUUGGUGAGGUAAUGGCUCACCAAGUCGACGAUCGUUAGCUGGUCUGAGAGGAUGAUCAGCCAGACUGGGACUGAGACACGGCCCAGACUCCUACGGGAGGCAGCAGUAAGGAAUUUUCCACAAUGGGGGCAACCCUGAUGGAGCAACGCCGCGUGCAGGAUGAAGGUUUUCGGAUCGUAAACUGCUUUUAUAAGUGAAGAGUAUGACGGUAACUUAUGAAUAAGGAUCGGCUAACUACGUGCCAGCCGCCGCGGUAA